UACGUAGGGGCCUAGCGUUGUCCGGAAUUAUUGGGCGUAAAGAGCUCGUAGGCGGUUCGGCAAGUCGGAUGUGAAAUCUCCACGCUUAACGUGGAGGGGCCAUUCGAAACUGCUGUGACUCGAGUCCGGUAGGGGAGUGUGGAAUUCCCGGUGUAGUGGUGAAAUGCGUAGAUAUCGGGAGGAACACCAGUGGCGAAGGCGACUUCCUGGCCUGUUCUUGACGCUGAGGCGCGAAAGCUAGGGUAGCAAACGGG
rnacentral:rRNA from 1 species